rnacentral:rRNA from 1 species
UACGUAGGGUGCAAGCGUUAAUCGGAAUUACUGGGCGUAAAGCGUGCGCAGGCGGUGAUGUAAGACAGAUGUGAAAUCCCCGGGCUUAACCUGGGAACUGCAUUUGUGACUGCAUUGCUGGAGUGCGGCAGAGGGGGAUGGAAUUCCGCGUGUAGCAGUGAAAUGCGUAGAUAUGCGGAGGAACACCGAUGGCGAAGGCAAUCCCCUGGGCCUGCACUGACGCUCAUGCACGAAAGCGCGGGGAGCAAACAGG